rnacentral:rRNA from 1 species
CCCUUAGAUGUUCUGGGCCGCACGCGUGCUACACUGAGUGGAUCAGCGGGUCAGGUUACGCGAGAGCGUUUCCUAAUCUUCAAAUCCGCUCGUGAUGGGGAUUGACGGUUGCAAUUUUCCGUCAUGAACGAGGAAUACCUUGUAAGCGCGGGUCAUCAUCCCGCGCUGAAUACGUCCCUGCCCUUUGUACACACCGCUCGUCGCUCCUACCGAUUGAGUGGUCCGGUGAGGCUUUGGGAUCUAAGCGAAAAGAGCGUUUCGCUCCUUUUGCUGGGAGAACUCAGUCGAACCUUAUCAUUUAGAGGAAGGAGAAGUCGUAACA